rnacentral:rRNA from 1 species
AUGGGGGUUUUUAGACCAGGUGCACCAAAUGGUUGGAUGCACAUGAUGCGACCUACCCUGCCUACCUAUUCCGAGGAUACUUCCGAUUGGGCCACUUUUGAUUUAGUUUCAGAUGAUCCUCCGUGGACCACCUCCACACCGGUGAGCACAGCCGCCGUGUUGUUGGGAUUGCCCUCUGUGUCUUGCUCCCCGGUGUCAAAUUUUCCCAAGAUGCAAAACCUGCCAGCUCAAGUAAUAGGGAGUUGGGAUGAGCAGCUGGUUAACCAAACGUUUUGGCAAGUGGAUGUUCGAAGGAUUUUGGCCAUUCCACUACCAUUACAUGAGAUGACAGAUUUCCUGGCAUGGAACAUGACAAAGUCAGGGACUUUCACGGUGCAAUCUGCAUACCAUACAGAAUGGGAAUUUCAAUUUGGGCACAAGUUGGAAUCAACGGCUGGAGCUUCAAACCCAUCUUAUACAUGGGACUCGGGGCCUGAUGACAUAAGACAUAUUUUGUUCGAAUGCAAAUUGGCAAUGGACGUGUGGAAGAUGCCCGGUCUUGAGCUUGUUAUCAAACAGGCACUGAAAGUUGACAAUGCAGAUGAGCUUGUGUUGGCACAUCUUCUGUGCCUUCCAGAACAACAAAUCCAAGUGUUGGGCUUGCCGAAGUUCAGAGAAACGAUGGCAACGACGGCUUGGUAUUUGUGUGACGCACUCGCAACAACAUUUGGAGCAGUUAUCCGGGACCAUAGGGGGAAAUUUAUAGCGGCUGCUAAUGAAAAGAUGGACCUUUGCUUCGACUCGUUCACAGCAGAAGCAAUUGCAGUGAGGUUUGGUUUGAAUCUUGCUAAUACCGUCGGAUGUAGUAAGAUUGAAGUGAAUUCGGAUAGCGUGGAGGUGGGAACGUAA